rnacentral:rRNA from 1 species
UGGGGAAUAUUGCACAAUGGAGGGAACUCUGAUGCAGCGACGCCGCGUGAACGAAGAAGGCUUUCGAGUCGUAAAGUUCUUUUAUAUGGGAAGAUAAUGACGGUACCAUAAGAAAAAGCCCCGGCUAACUACGUGCCAGCAGCCGCGGUAAUACGUAGGGGGCUAGCGUUGUCCGGAAUCACUGGGCGUAAAGGGUUCGCAGGCGGAAAUGCAAGUCAGGUGUAAAAGGCAGUAGCUUAACUACUGUAAGCAUUUGGAAACUGCAUAUCUUGAGAAGAGUAGAGGUAAGUGGAAUUUUUAGUGUAGCGGUGAAAUGCGUAGAUAUUAAAAAGAAUACCGGUGGCGAAGGCGACUUACUGGGCUCAUUCUGACGCUGAGGAACGAAAGCGUGGGUAGCAAACAGG